rnacentral:antisense_RNA from 1 species
GUAGCCGGCUGGCCUUGCGGAGGAUCCUGCUUCCCCCUCCUCCACCCCAUUUUUUUCCUUUCACCCAGUAAAACCCUAUUUUACUCACCCUUCAAACCGUCUGCGAGGCUACAUUUUCGUGGCCACGGGACGGACAAGGACCCCAUCUUUAGCUGAACUACGGAAAAGCCCUGCAACACCACCAUCUCAUAAGCUGACUUGGAAAUAAGCUAGCAGUGGCUGUGUCAGCAAGACCACCACAUGCAGCAAGGGUGGCCACUUCCAGCUAGCUCCUGCAUCCACAGCUGCCUCGCCUCUAUUGGCUACUGCCAUCCAUGUAACAGACUCUUGGGAAAUAUGCUCAGCUGAAAAACUGCAUUUCCCAACUCAAGACCUAAGAGGUGGUCAGCAGAUACAAGCAGGAGUCCUUGGAUGAGUCUUCAAGUAUUUGAAGACUGGCUGGCCAUCCUGCACACCCUGAAUCUUCACUCCUCUGGCUGUGCAUCUGGAGUGACGGAGCCCCUCCCUCGCUGUGCUUCAGCUUGUUCCUUCCCUUCUUCAGUGGGACUCCAAGAAACGAAGGUCAUAUU